CUUGUACCAAUUGAGAUUUUAACACGAAGUGAGUGGCGAACGGGUGAGUAACACGUGGGUAACCUGCCCAGAAGUAGGGGAUAACACCUGGAAACAGAUGCUAAUACCGUAUAAUAGAGAAAACCGCAUGGUUUUCUUUUGAAAGAUGGCUCUGCUAUCACUUCUGGAUGGACCCGCGGCGCAUUAGCUAGUUGGUAAGGUAAAGGCUUACCAAGGCAGUGAUGCGUAGCCGACCUGAGAGGGUAAUCGGCCACAUUGGGACUGAGACACGGCCCAGACUCCUACGGGAGGCAGCAGUAGGGAAUCUUCCACAAUGGACGCAAGUCUGAUGGAGCAACGCCGCGUGAGUGAAGAAGGGUUUCGGCUCGUAAAGCUCUGUUGUUAAAGAAGAACGUGGGUGAGAGUAACUGUUCACCCAGUGACGGUAUUUAACCAGAAAGCCACGGCUAACUACGUGCCAGCAGCCGCGGUAAUACGUAGGUGGCAAGCGUUAUCCGGAUUUAUUGGGCGUAAAGCGAGCGCAGGCGGUCUUUUAAGUCUAAUGUGAAAGCCUUCGGCUCAACCGAAGAAGUGCAUUGGAAACUGGGAGACUUGAGUGCAGAAGAGGACAGUGGAACUCCAUGUGUAGCGGUGAAAUGCGUAGAUAUAUGGAAGAACACCAGUGGCGAAGGCGGCUGUCUGGUCUGCAA
rnacentral:rRNA from 1 species